rnacentral:rRNA from 1 species
AUGGCUCAUAAUAAAUCACCUGACCAAGAUGGGUUCACUGCUGAGUUUUAUUAGCACUUCUCAGACUUGAUUAAACAUGAUUUGAAAUCUACGUUUGAUGAUUUUCAUAAAGUAAAGUUAGAUAUUAUAAGGCUCAACUAUGGGAUUAUCACUUUACUGCCUAAAAGUGAAGAUGCUAAUCAGAUAAAAAAAUAUAAACCUAUCUGCCUUUUGAAAGUUAAAUUUAAAAUCUUUACAAAAGCAUUGAUGAACAGGUUAAAUGGGGUUGCUAGAGAUGUUGUAUCUCCCAUUCAAACUGCCAUCAUCAAGCGCAGAUGUAUUAUGGAGGGGGUCCUUGUUCUACAUGAAGCUUUGGAUAGUGUUCAUACAAAAAAAGAUGUUUUGUUGUUUAAUGUGAUUUCGAAAAAGCCUAGGCUAUGGUUAAGUGGCCUUUUCUCUUUCAAAUGCUGA